AGCAGCCGCGGUAAUUCCAGCUCCAAUAGCGUAUAUUAAAGUUGCUGCAGUUAAAAAGCUCGUAGUUGGAUUUCUGGUUUGAUACAGUUUACCAGCCACGGUUUCGUGUGUUAGUGUUUUCUGUUCUGGCCAUCCUUCCAAUUGCUGCUCACUUUUCUUCAUUGAUUGGUGAGUGGUGUUGGAUCUUUUACUUUGAAAAAAUUAGAGUGUUUCAAGCAGGCUUUAUGCUAUGAAUACAUUAGCAUGGAAUAAUAAUUUAGGACUUCGGUUCUAUUUUGUUGGUUUCUAGGACUGAAGUAAUGAUUGAUAGGGAUAGUUGGGGGUGCUAGUAUUCAGCGGCCAGAGGUGAAAUUCUCGGAUUCGCUGAAGACUAACUUAUGCGAAAGCAUUCACCAAGGAUGUCUUCUUUAAUCAAGAACGAAAGUUAGGGGAUCGAAGACGAUCAGAUACCGUCGUAGUCUUAACCAUAAACUAUGCCGACUAGGGAUCGGACGAUGUUAACUUUUCUUGACUCG
rnacentral:rRNA from 1 species